CUACGGGCGGCUGCAGUGGGGAAUAUUGGACAAUGGGGGAAACCCUGAUCCAGCAAUGCCGCGUGUGUGAAGAAGGCCUGCGGGUUGUAAAGCACUUUCGGUUGGGAGGACUGCUUCUAGCACUAAUAUUGUUGGAAGUUGACGUUACCUUCAGAAGAAGCACCGGCUAACUCCGUGCCAGCAGCCGCGGUAAUACGGAGGGUGGCAAGCGUUAAUCGGAAUUACUGGGCGUAAAGCGCGCGUAGGCGGAUAGAUCAGUCGGGGGUGAAAGCCCCGGGCUUAACCUGGGAACUGCAUCCGAUACUGUCUAGCUUGAGUACAGGAGAGGAGAGUGGAAUUCCACAUGUAGCGGUGAAAUGCGUAGAUAUGUGGAGGAACACCAAUGGCGAAGGCAGCUCUCUGGCCUGAUACUGACGCUGAGGUGCGAAAGCGUGGGGAGCAAACAGGAUUAGAUACCCUCGUAGUC
rnacentral:rRNA from 1 species